rnacentral:lncRNA from 1 species
UGCGGGAGGUGGGGGAGAGGAGCUCGUUUUCACCUAGGGAAGACGAAUGACAGCCAUAGAAGAAGAGGCAUCAUCCUGUCUCUAAAUGGCAGGAGGACUUUGUAUAAGCCUUCCAGACAAUGGAAGCCAUGUGGGCGAAGACUCAGGAACCACGUACCAUCCAAAGGCCCGGGGAAGAAAUUACAGGUAAAGAACAAGCCCAAGCUGAUAAAUUCGUCAGAAAGUAUAUCCUAAAGUGAACCAUUCAUCUCACCUGCUAUGCAAGACUUCAACUGCUCAAGUCUGGCCACUGUGAUCCAGAGCCUCCUCAUGGCUGCCUGAGGAAGACAAUCGCCUCCUGUUUGCCUUUGGAACAAGACGUAGAACUUGCAGCUCCUCCAGCACCAUGUCUGACUGCACAGUGCCCUGCUUCCUGCCAUGAUGAUAAUGGACUGAACUUCUGAAACUGUAAGCCAGCACCAAUGAAAUGUUUUUUCUUUAUAAGAAUUGCCUUAGCUGGGCGUGGUAGCACACGCCUUUAAUCCCAGCACUUGGGAGGCAGAGG